GCUACAGCUCACUGCAUCCGAAGCAGUGAGUUGUAGCUCACGAAAGCUUAUGCUCAAAUAAAUUGAUUAGUCUCUAAGGUGCCACAAGUCCUCCUUAGGAGGACAAGUGUCAUAGCACACUGUGACUGAGAAAUUGCUUGCUUUUAUUUUUGCUAUAUAAUUAUAACCAUUUUUCUCACAUGUCAAAAGUGAGCUUGAAUGGUGGGCUUAACUGACCACUAGUGUGCAGCUACAUUGUUAUCCCUUUGUUUAGUGGCUUUAGCUUGAUAUUGGGUGGUGGGGUUUUUGCUUUUUCUUGUUUUUUUGCUUCAGCAGUAGAGUUUUCUGUGAGUCAUGUGCCCUAAAUAAAGUAUAGCUUGAAUGGUCUAACGACAGACUGUAGCGUGUACUUUACAGCUUCUAUACAAAGGCGUUUCACAAUAUUCUGCUAUGCUUCAUUUGUGUUCUCAGUUCCCUGGGUGAGGGGAGGAAGGGGGUGAGUGACUUCUCUCCAAGCUUAAAUCAGUUGAGAAGCUAAUGGUGUUGCCUGAAGCCCACAUACAGAGGGCCACCUUAAAUAACUAGUGUGUUUCACCAGCUGAUGAGGAGGAGGACUGGGAGGGAGGGGGUUAAAAGCUACUUGCUGUCACACACUAUAUUUAGCAACGAGGGUUUUGUGUGGAUACCAAAGUUAAAGGUUCCUAAAAAACAAAUGAUUGUCAGACUCUUAUACAAGCAAUUGUAAUUUUGAUAGGAUUUAAUUCUGCCAGUGGGGAAGGUAACUUUAGUUCUCAAUUUGCAACAUAACCCAAC